UGAUUCAUAAGGACAGCUUAGCUAACAAAUUGUCAGCCAACAUAGCAUGUAAGGUUACUUAUUUGAAAAGUAAUUACUUUAUUACAUUGCUCAACAUUUUGUUAGUUAAAGCAAUUCAUUUUUAUCCGCUAUCGUUGGAUUUAGGCUGCAUAUUUUCUUCAAAUCUGCAAAUUAUGUGAAGCCACGCCCAUUUACUGCAGAAUUGCAUUAUGGACCCUAAAGUACGGAAAUGGUGUUCUCUGCGUUUAUACUUCAUUUUUUUGGGCGGUUAGACUAUGUGGUUUGGAGGUGUUCUGGGUGCAAGUGGUGCGGGGCCACUUUGGCUCUGUGUUGGCCAAGCUGCGGACACUGAUCAGCCGCAGGAGGCAGAGGAGCCAGCAACAGCAACUCUGUACAGACCCAGAGAGCUAUGAUGUAUAACAUCGUGGUGGAGCGCAGAGACCCCGCUGCUGAUAUAGAGCCAGGUUCCGAGCAACGCUGAGGCGGAGCAGUUCUGUAAAGACAUGCGGCGCUGUGUGGUGACUGGGUCAGAGUGUGUCACAGGGGGACUCAGGUUACGGAAGAGGGGACUGGAGCUCUGAUUCGGGGACCUCAUUGAAAUUAUUUUUUUUGGUUGAUAUUUUCACUCUAUAUAGAUUCCUUGAGGUUUCCAUGCAAAAAGGACUAGAGGUUGGGAUUGGUCUCGGAUGGAGACUGUACAAGUCAUUUUUGACAAAUAUGAUGACUGCUGAAUGUUUGAUAAAUGAAUGUUAUGUUAACAAACUAGGCUGCUGCUUUUGGAUGGAAAUUUGAUGCUGCUACCCAGCAUCCAUGUUUGUUUGUGUUUCAUCUUUCAAUCAGUACAGUGGCUGUGUUGGAAGAGGGUCAGUUGUCUUGCAGCAAAGGAUGUUGUGGCAAUGAUUGGAGAUGUUAACAUGCAUUUUUAGCUGCUGUUGCUAUGUUGCACAUGUGCGACAGUCUUAUGUCCUAUACAUUAUUGCACGAGCAGUACUACCAUUUGGUGGAAUGAUUCAGGGAGUGCAUGUUUCUGAAAAUAAAAUGAUAAAACCCUGUACCUCUCA